AUACGUAGGGAGCGAGCGUUGUCCGGAAUUACUGGGCGUAAAGGGCGCGUAGGCGGCGCUUCAAGUCGUCUGUCAAAUGGGAGGGCUUAACCCUUUUUCGCAGACGACACUGGAGAGCUUGAGAAGCAGAGAGGCAAACAGAAUUCCUGGUGUAGCGGUGAAAUGCGUAGAUAUCAGGAAGAAUACCAGUGGCGAAGGCGGUUUGCUGGCUGCAUACUGACGCUGAAGCGCGAAAGCCAGGGGAGCAAACGGGAUUAGAUACCCCGGUAGUCCUGGCAGUAAACGAUGUAUGCUGGGUGUGAGACUAGCGAUAGUUUCGUGCCGAAGUUAACGCGAUAAGCAUACCGCCUGGGGAGUACGGUCGCAAGAUUGAAACUCAAAUGAAUUGACGGGG
rnacentral:rRNA from 1 species